ensembl:snoRNA
UGCAUUCAUGUUGCCAGUUUGGCUUUGCCAACUGGUAACUGUGGUGUCAAGGAAGGCAGACAUUGGCUGCUGUGCAGCCUCAAGACUUGGUGUCUCCUAUGUGGAACCUACACAACCAACAGGU